rnacentral:lncRNA from 1 species
GCUCAGGGGAGUCAGUCGGGGAUCACUGCCUCUCCAAACCAUUUAAAGUUAAAGAUUCUUUUAUUAAUAAAUUCUCCCUCCCCUCCAAACUCUCCCCAAAAUAAAUAUCUCCUCCCCGCUUUGGGGAGUUGGGGGGGUCUGUAUCUUAGGGCCAGCCCUCCUAGUGGGCCAGCCCCCUAGUGUUAAAAAUAGGUCCCUAACCCCCCAGGGUGACCCCCGUGGUGGAAUUUCAGGACAUCUGAGUGAGUGGGGCCUAGUGUCAAGUCUGCCCCCCAAGUCAGCCUGGCCCCCAGGGCCUCUAGGAAGGAGGGCACCCCCCUCCCCUGUGCAAAUGCUGCAGUUCCUUAGUCAGUGUCAGCUGUUUUGUGUGAGCCAGCGUGAGGCUCCCUUUCUGUUCUGGAGCCAGAGGCAGAGACUGGCUCUAGAAUGGAUGAAUGAAUGAUGAGUGGGCGAGCCCCGGCUGGCAGGGGGCACAUUGUCACUGGAUCAGCGCCACAGCUGGGCAGCCCUCUCCGCCGGUCUCCUCUAUGGGGGCUGCAAGAUAAGAGGUGGGAUCGUCAGCAGCAGAGAAAAGGUCGAGUGCUGACAGGGCUGGGCAGGCCAGGGCACACUUACUGGUGAACUUCUCUCUCCUGCGGCAUCGUCUCCAGACCAAAAAGCCAGAAAGCAGCCCCAGCACGAAGGUCAGGCUCAGAGCGCCCCCAAGGAUGGGCCAAAGCAGCCGGAAGGGGGCAGGAGGUGCUGCAGCGCCUGGGGGCGGGACUCGGAGUCAGACCUCGCCCCUCUCCAGGCCAGCCCCGCCCCCUAAGACUGAGCCUUCUGCCUUCUCCCAAACGUGGCCUCCUCCCUGACCGGAGCCCCCUCCCAGCUCCCACCUCCUCCCGAUUGAUUUCCCAGAUGCAAAGCUCUCGGCCCUGCUCUGCGCACCAGCCACCCUCCCUCCCAGUCUGGGGUCCGCUGGCCACUGGCCCUGCCCCCCACUCACAGCCCAGGCAGAAGUCGCUGUGCGGUCGCGCCCUGCAAGACGCGCAGUCCAUGCACUUGUCCAGGUCCGCGCUCCAGGAGCUGCCGCGGGAGCAGGGGGCGGUGCCUGGGGAGGGGGCCUCGGGUCAGAGGCUGGGGGCGGGACUCGGCUAUUCUGGGGUCUGAGGUCAGGGUCGGCCGGCUCGAAUAACGUGAGUCACUGGCGCCCUCCCCGCGCAUUCCUCACAGGUGACCGCACGGCCCGACCGGGACACGGCAGCUCCGGGAGGGAGGGCGUAGCGCGGGACGCUGGGGGUGGGGGGGUCAGGUCCCCACAACCCCCCUGCCGCCGGCGGGUGACUCACUCCUGGGCACCGGGCCCGACCCCAGUCCCUCCCCCCGCAUAGCUGGGCACUGAAGUCACCGGAUGGAAGGGGGCACCCCACAUGGUAUAGAGGGCACAGACCCUAGUGCCUCUCGACGGCCUCCCCAACUCAUCGAUCACUGGGGCUAGUUAGACCCUGUACGGACCAGGCUGGGGGCGUGCCCCUUCCUAGACUAAACAUCCCGCCCUCACUCACUUUCUCUCUGCAUUCGAAGUACUUCGGACUUUUGGAACUGAAGACCCCUCCAACCCCAAUUGGACGGUGGGAGAAACUGAGGCCCGGAUUGUGAAUGAAGCUUGGAGAGUGAUGGAACUUCCCACAGCCGGGAGCGAGCUGUUUGAAGGCCACCUGACCCCAGAUCCCCACAUCCGCCUGUUCCCCCAGUUCGGCGCUGUUCUCCAGACACCCAGUCCGGCUCCCGAGCCCCGGCCCGGGGUUCCCCGACCCCGGAGUCCCGCGUACCUGGCGCUUGCUCCCCGGCCACGGAGCGCAGCAACGCCAGCCAGAGCCCCAGCACGAGGAGCCGCAGCAACCGGCGCAGCGAGCCCCGAGCCAUAGUGCACGUCCUGCGCC